rnacentral:rRNA from 1 species
GCCUGCACAGGUGCUGCAUGGCUGUCGUCAGCUCGUGCCGUGAGGUGUUGGGUUAAGUCCCCUAACGAGCGCAACCCUCGCCGUCAGUUACAUGUGUCUGGCGGGACUGCCGGUCUAAAACCGGAGGAAGGUGGGGAUGACGUCAAGUCAGCAUGGCCUUUAUAUCUGGGGCUACACACACGCUACAAUGGCCGGUACAAUAGGUUGCCAACCCGCGAGGGGGAGCCAAUCCUACAAAGCCGGUCUCAGUUCGGAUUGGAGGCUGCAACCCGCCUCCAUGAAGUCGGAGUUGCUAGUAAACGCAGGUCAGCCAUACUGCGUUGAAUACGUUCCCGGGUCUUGUACACACCG